GACGAACGCUGGCGGCGUGCUUAACACAUGCAAGUCGAACGGAAAGGCCUUUUCGGAGGUACUCGAGUGGCGAACGGGUGAGUAACACGUGGGUGAUCUGCCCUGCACUCUGGGAUAAGCCUGGGAAACUGGGUCUAAUACCGGAUAGGACCGCACUUUAGUGUGUGUGGUGGAAAGUUUUUUCGGUGUAGGAUGAGCCCGCGGCCUAUCAGCUUGUUGGUGGGGUAAUGGCCUACCAAGGCGGCGACGGGUAGCCGGACUGAGAGGUUGGUCGGCCACAUUGGGACUGAGAUACGGCCCAGACUCCUACGGGAGGCCGCAGUGGGGAAUAUUGCACAAUGGGCGCAAGCCUGAUGCAGCGACGCCGCGUGGGGGAUGACGGCCUUCGGGUUGUAAACUCCUUUCGCCAGGGACGAAGCGUUUUGUGACGGUACCUGGAGAAGAAGCACCGGCUAACUACGUG
rnacentral:rRNA from 1 species